rnacentral:rRNA from 1 species
AAAUUGAAGAGUUUGAUCAUGGCUCAGAUUGAACGCUGGCGGCAGGCCUAACACAUGCAAGUCGAACGGUAACAGGAAACAGCUUGCUGUUUCGCUGACGAGUGGCGGACGGGUGAGUAAUGUCUGGGAAACUGCCUGAUGGAGGGGGAUAACUACUGGAAACGGUAGCUAAUACCGCAUAACGUCGCAAGACCAAAGAGGGGGACCUUCGGGCCUCUUGCCAUCGGAUGUGCCCAGAUGGGAUUAGCUAGUAGGUGGGGUAACGGCUCACCUAGGCGACGAUCCCUAGCUGGUCUGAGAGGAUGACCAGCCACACUGGAACUGAGACACGGUCCAGACUCCUACGGGAGGCAGCAGUGGGGAAUAUUGCACAAUGGGCGCAAGCCUGAUGCAGCCAUGCCGCGUGUAUGAAGAAGGCCUUCGGGUUGUAAA